rnacentral:rRNA from 1 species
ACGCUCGACACCUACGGGAGGGCAGCAGUAGGGAAUCUUCCACAAUGGACGCAAGUCUGAUGGAGCAACGCCGCGUGAGUGAAGAAGGUCUUCGGAUCGUAAAACUCUGUUGUUAGAGAAGAACACGAGUGAGAGUAACUGUUCAUUCGAUGACGGUAUCUAACCAGCAAGUCACGGCUAACUACGUGCCAGNCGCCGAGUAUNGNGGCGGNGNGAGAG